GACAGAGGGUGCAAACGUUGCUCGGAAUCACUGGGCGUAAAGGGCGUGUAGGCGGGAAGGAAAGUCGGGCGUGAAAUCCCACGGCUCAACCGUGGAAGUGCACCCGAAACUGCGUAGCUAGAGUCCUGGAGAGGAAGGUGGAAUGCUUGGUGUAGAGGUGAAAUUCGUAGAUAUCAAGCGGAACACCGGUGGCGAAGGCGGCCUUCUGGACAGUGACUGACGCUGAGACGGCGAAAGCGUGGGGAGCAAACAGGG
rnacentral:rRNA from 1 species